rnacentral:tRNA from 1 species
GGGAAUGUGGCUUAGUGGUAGAGUGUUUGCCUAGUAUGCAUGAAGCCCUGGGUUCGAUUCCUCAGCACCA